rnacentral:rRNA from 1 species
GGUUAAGCGACUAAGCGUACACGGUGGAUGCCCUGGCAGUCAGAGGCGAUGAAGGACGUGCUAAUCUGCGAUAAGCGUCGGUAAGGUGAUAUGAACCGUUAUAACCGGCGAUUUCCGAAUGGGGAAACCCAGUGUGUUUCGACACACUAUCAUUAACUGAAUCCAUAGGUUAAUGAGGCGAACCGGGGGAACUGAAACAUCUAAGUACCCCGAGGAAAAGAAAUCAACCGAGAUUCCCCCAGUAGCGGCGAGCGAACGGGGAGCAGCCCAGAGCCUGAAUCAGUGUGUGUGUUAGUGGAAGCGUCUGGAAAGGCGCGCGAUACAGGGUGACAGCCCCGUACACAAAAAUGCACAUGCUGUGAGCUCGAUGAGUAGGGCGGGACACGUGGUAUCCUGUCUGAAUAUGGGGGGACCAUCCUCCAAGGCUAAAUACUCCUGACUGACCGAUAGUGAACCAGUACCGUGAGGGAAAGGCGAAAAGAACCCCGGCGAGGGGAGUGAAAAAGAACCUGAAACCGUGUACGUACAAGCAGUGGGAGCACGCUUAGGCGUGUGACUGCGUACCUUUUGUAUAAUGGGUCAGCGACUUAUAUUCUGUAGCAAGGUUAACCGAAUAGGGGAGCCGAAGGGAAACCGAGUCUUAACUGGGCGUUAAGUUGCAGGGUAUAGACCCGAAACCCGGUGAUCUAGCCAUGGGCAGGUUGAAGGUUGGGUAACACUAACUGGAGGACCGAACCGACUAAUGUUGAAAAAUUAGCGGAUGACUUGUGGCUGGGGGUGAAAGGCCAAUCAAACCGGGAGAUAGCUGGUUCUCCCCGAAAGCUAUUUAGGUAGCGCCUCGUGAAUUCAUCUCCGGGGGUAGAGCACUGUUUCGGCAAGGGGGUCAUCCCGACUUACCAACCCGAUGCAAACUGCGAAUACCGGAGAAUGUUAUCACGGGAGACACACGGCGGGUGCUAACGUCCGUCGUGAAGAGGGAAACAACCCAGACCGCCAGCUAAGGUCCCAAAGUCAUGGUUAAGUGGGAAACGAUGUGGGAAGGCCCAGACAGCCAGGAUGUUGGCUUAGAAGCAGCCAUCAUUUAAAGAAAGCGUAAUAGCUCACUGGUCGAGUCGGCCUGCGCGGAAGAUGUAACGGGGCUAAACCAUGCACCGAAGCUGCGGCAGCGACACUAUGUGUUGUUGGGUAGGGGAGCGUUCUGUAAGCCUGCGAAGGUGUGCUGUGAGGCAUGCUGGAGGUAUCAGAAGUGCGAAUGCUGACAUAAGUAACGAUAAAGCGGGUGAAAAGCCCGCUCGCCGGAAGACCAAGGGUUCCUGUCCAACGUUAAUCGGGGCAGGGUGAGUCGACCCCUAAGGCGAGGCCGAAAGGCGUAGUCGAUGGGAAACAGGUUAAUAUUCCUGUACUUGGUGUUACUGCGAAGGGGGGACGGAGAAGGCUAUGUUGGCCGGGCGACGGUUGUCCCGGUUUAAGCGUGUAGGCUGGUUUUCCAGGCAAAUCCGGAAAAUCAAGGCUGAGGCGUGAUGACGAGGCACUACGGUGCUGAAGCAACAAAUGCCCUGCUUCCAGGAAAAGCCUCUAAGCAUCAGGUAACAUCAAAUCGUACCCCAAACCGACACAGGUGGUCAGGUAGAGAAUACCAAGGCGCUUGAGAGAACUCGGGUGAAGGAACUAGGCAAAAUGGUGCCGUAACUUCGGGAGAAGGCACGCUGAUAUGUAGGUGAAGUCCCUCGCGGAUGGAGCUGAAAUCAGUCGAAGAUACCAGCUGGCUGCAACUGUUUAUUAAAAACACAGCACUGUGCAAACACGAAAGUGGACGUAUACGGUGUGACGCCUGCCCGGUGCCGGAAGGUUAAUUGAUGGGGUCAGCGCAAGCGAAGCUCUUGAUCGAAGCCCCGGUAAACGGCGGCCGUAACUAUAACGGUCCUAAGGUAGCGAAAUUCCUUGUCGGGUAAGUUCCGACCUGCACGAAUGGCGUAAUGAUGGCCAGGCUGUCUCCACCCGAGACUCAGUGAAAUUGAACUCGCUGUGAAGAUGCAGUGUACCCGCGGCAAGACGGAAAGACCCCGUGAACCUUUACUAUAGCUUGACACUGAACAUUGAGCCUUGAUGUGUAGGAUAGGUGGGAGGCUUUGAAGUGUGGACGCCAGUCUGCAUGGAGCCGACCUUGAAAUACCACCCUUUAAUGUUUGAUGUUCUAACGUGGACCCGUGAUCCGGGUUGCGGACAGUGUCUGGUGGGUAGUUUGACUGGGGCGGUCUCCUCCUAAAGAGUAACGGAGGAGCACGAAGGUUGGCUAAUCCUGGUCGGACAUCAGGAGGUUAGUGCAAUGGCAUAAGCCAGCUUGACUGCGAGCGUGACGGCGCGAGCAGGUGCGAAAGCAGGUCAUAGUGAUCCGGUGGUUCUGAAUGGAAGGGCCAUCGCUCAACGGAUAAAAGGUACUCCGGGGAUAACAGGCUGAUACCGCCCAAGAGUUCAUAUCGACGGCGGUGUUUGGCACCUCGAUGUCGGCUCAUCACAUCCUGGGGCUGAAGUAGGUCCCAAGGGUAUGGCUGUUCGCCAUUUAAAGUGGUACGCGAGCUGGGUUUAGAACGUCGUGAGACAGUUCGGUCCCUAUCUGCCGUGGGCGCUGGAGAACUGAGGGGGGCUGCUCCUAGUACGAGAGGACCGGAGUGGACGCAUCACUGGUGUUCGGGUUGUCAUGCCAAUGGCACUGCCCGGUAGCUAAAUGCGGAAGAGAUAAGUGCUGAAAGCAUCUAAGCACGAAACUUGCCCCGAGAUGAGUUCUCCCUGACUCCUUGAGAGUCCUGAAGGAACGUUGAAGACGACGACGUUGAUAGGCCGGGUGUGUAAGCGCAGCGAUGCGUUGAGCUAACCGGUACUAAUGAACCGUGAGGCUUAACCUU